rnacentral:tRNA from 1 species
GGCCUAGUGGUCUAGGGGUAUGAUACUCGCUUCGGGUGCGAGUGGUCCCGGGUUCAAAUCCCCGGCUAGGCCC